UCCCCCCGUCUCGUUCGUGACGUCUCAGUCGGUUGUUCUCCGCCUCAAGAAGACCUCGGCGAUCGAGAACUCCCGGUGGCUCUGGAAUGCCCUUCCCCCAACAGUAAAUAAAGGAGGUAGUAGUAAUCCCUCGUCUCGUCCGCGACGCUCUGACGACCUUUCCCCUGUCUCUGUCGGUUCUCCUACGCCCUCAAGAAGACCUCAGGUGACGACGACAUCGGUCCUGUGUACCCCGCCGCCUACUCCCUCCCCUAGUAUCAGCAGCUGAAAUUUCUGGGUACAAGAGUGGACGAUUGUUCAUAUUGUUAGUAAUGAACGCGGUGGUAACAAUUUCCAGGUGUCAGCAUUUUGGCAGAUAUUUGGAAUAGAAACUAAUUUGAAGAGGUACCCAACAUAAGAAAGAUUUAGUUCGUCUUUCGGCUGAGAGUAAUCCGAAUUACUUUGAUUUGGAUUAGGGUUUAUUUUAUCAAGAACAUCUCAUACAGACAAUUCUUUAAUUUCUUUCAUAAUGACUGUUCCUAUGAUCUUUUGUUUUUUUCUUUUGUCUUUUCUUUUUCGUUGAUACUGUGCAAAACAAUAAAUCCUACGCUAUACAUGUUCUUUUCUCAUAAUUUCUUGUGCGUCAACCACAAUUUUGGUUUGCGCGAAACCAUAUGCUAUAUACAUGGGAACUUGUAAUUGUUGGAGACACUGUAUCAUAACGGUCAUGCAUGUUUCUGGAAGAAAGCACCCUUAAUUAAUUUGAGAAAAUUGUAACAGGGUUUUCGUGCUGGAAGAGGUAACCCAUCUGUGCUUUUAGGCGUGAGUAUUUGUUGACUUAUAUUAGAGGCCAGAGUUGUAAGAUUAACAGGAAAAGGCAGAAAGGUGGAAAACAGUCCCGUCUACUUCUUCUCAGUCAGUUAUACAUGUUUCUUUUUUUUCGUUGUCUUUCUCAGUCAGUUAUAAGCGUCUCUCUUUUCUUUGGCUUCAGUCUGUUUGUUGUUCAUAAACCUCACAGUUGGACCAACAAGUACUUGUUUAGACUGAAGAAGUAUACAUUCUCAGGUC